UCAGACAUCACAACUACAUAUAACUAAAAAUACAGAAGAUGGAUAUAUAUUUUAAAACGAUAUAGCUUGGAAUGACGAGCGAUAUACCAUUGGCGGAUUCGUGCAGCCUGUCGGCGGCCAGGCCGUCAGUAUGGACCUGUUAGAAAAAUACUGUUUUUUGUAGUGAAACUAAGUAGUCUUUCUCGCAUUUUAAAUAACUAGGUAGCAUGAUCGAUUAAUUAAGAUCACAAUAAAGAAGACAAGGAUCAAAAUAUGUGCGAUCAAGAUGAGGAAAGUGGAGGAGAUGACGAAGGUUGAGAUGAAAAUGGCGAUGUAGGGAUGUUGGAGAGAGAUCUAGUCGGAAGUCAUGAUGGAGGAAAAGGUGAAGGUUGAAGGUGAUUGGUAACUGGUAAGUGGCACAUGUAUGUUAACAUUUACUUUUGCAAUUUGAAUUAUUACGACGACACCUGCGUCUACAUCGAUGUCUAAAUAUUGUACAAUGCCGCUUGCAUAUUCUAUAAUCCUUGUGGCAUCUUUCGAUCGAUGCAAUCAUAAUAAGGAGGAGGUGAAUGUGGUGGGUGGGGUAGUGAAGGGUGGAGGAGGCGAUGGAGGAGGAGGCGCUCGAAGGUGGGGUAGGCGAUUCUAAUUAUUUCAUCCAAGUGUUUUGUUUUUCUUUUAAUCAUACCAACAAUGCUAAUGGAUAGAAAGAAACAAAAUAUAUAUGUCAAGUUGCAUUAGUACUUCUUAUUCUUUUAUCAACAUUGAAGUAAUUCGACAACAACUCAAACAUCACACAUACAUAAACAAGAUAUAAAAUGACGAUCGAUCAUCUAGACAUUAAUUUGUGUAAAAUUCAGCAAGAUAGACAAACUAGCUAGGUAUGUAGUCAUUCUCGCAUUUUAAAUAACUAGCAUGAUCGAUUUAAACCACAAUAAAGAAGACAUGCAUGCAUGCAUGCAUGCGACCUAGGAGGUGAAAGUGGAAGAGAUGAAGGAGGAUGAGGUGAAAAUGGAUGCGACGGAGGGGAGAGGCUACGAAGAUGGUGGAGAUCGAGUGAUCAUUUAGGUGGAAGUGAUGGAGGGGAUCGAAGGUGAAGGUGGAAGUUGAUUGGGAAGUAAUACGUAAAAGAUUAAAGGCAUUUUUUUUUACAACUGGAAAACUUACGACGACACCUGCGUAAACAUCUAGGAAUAAAGAAACAACGAAUCUUGCAUCUAUUAUAAAUCUUUUUGCAAGCUUUGUGGCAAUCAUUAUUAUAUGGAGGAGGUGGUGAUGGAGGGGGAGGUGGUGGGGGAGGAGGUGAUGGAGGAGGUGGUGAUGGAGGGGGAGGUGGUGGGGGAGGAGGUGAAGGGGGGGGGGGAGGAGGCAGUUUAAUUAAUUUAUAACACUCAUAAAUACAAUGAUAAGUAAUCCCUCCACAAUCUACAAUGCAUUUUGUAAAGUCACAUUGGCAUACAUCGCAGAGAUUAUUAUCUUGAGCACUUUCGACACUUGAUAUAAUUGAAAAAGAUAGAACUAAGACGACUACAACAAGCAAUGUUUUCAUGAUAACUUGAUAUAUAAAUGUCUGAUCAACAAUCUCCUCCUUUUAUACACACAUUCUGCCCUGAAUUUUAGGUUAAUUGGCGUGCAUAUUUCUUCAAUUUCUUAUAUAAUUGACAUCAAAAUCUUGCUAGAAUGGCAUUUUCAAUACCUCUUCCCAAUAUCUAAUUUGAUAGGUUUUAAUAUGGUGGGCACAAAUACUAUUUCUUAUUAUACUUUUUUUUGAAGCAGUUAAAAUUUCAUUAAAAAAUAAGGGCAAUACUCGAUUUACAAAGAGUAUAGAAAUAAAAACAGAAGUAAAAAGAAAUAAAAGCUUAUUUACUCUCUUCCAUUAGUUAUGUAGUCUAAUUAUACAGUAACUAUAUAGAUACGCUGCCACGGGAGGUUGGUCUCUCAUACUGUCUUCCAUCAUAGAUGUCUCCAAAGGGUGACAACAUUUCUUAUCAUACUUAUUUGGUAUUUCAACUUGCUUCUACAACAUCGCUUACUUAAUUAUGCUCCAAUCGUUCUUAUUUCCAAUAAUUUUUGUAUUGAGUGUUCAUAAGGACAACAAUUUUUGCAUAUACCAUGCCAAUAUUUAAUCUAUAAUAUUUAUUACUACUUUAGUUAUGUUCUACAUGUAGCCAAUUAGGGACCACUACAAGUAACGUCAAACCUUCGCGCAUGACCAAGAUCAGUGGUCCUUUGAUGAAAUCCUUAAAUUAGCCACAGGAUGGGCCGUGGGCAUAGGUCUAGUUGCUACGUAUUUUUAGUUACGAAAUUGAUAAUCCGUGACUAAAUAUUAUUACUUUAUUUAUGUUCUACAUGUAGUCAAUUAGGGAUCAUUAACAUUUAAAAAAAAUCGAAGAAAUUUGGACAUUUAGAAGAAUUAAUAUUAGGAUAUAUACGGAUAUAAAAAUGUGAAUAUUUAGAUAUUUUUAUUUAUGCUCAACUAUAUUAUCACAAAUAUACAAUUUUUUGAUUUUUUUAUUAUUAGUGAAUCAAUCGUACAUUUACUUAGUAAGAUUUCUGAUUUUUUUUUUUAAAUUCAAAUUAAUUUCCUAAUCAUAGGUAAUUGAGAGUUAUUAAUAAGGUUAUUAUUAUCUUUCCAACUCUAAUUAAUUCUUUCAUUAUUAAUUUGAUUGUUAAAAUUUUUUUUUUUUUAAAUUUGACAUCCUAAAUGAAAAAAAUAAAGAUAUUUAAAUUAAUAUAUUAAAUGAGAACAUCUCAAAUCAAAUAAAUAGGAACAUUUAAAUUGUGUUAAAUAAAGACAUUUCAAAUUAGAAUACAUCGAUUGAAAUAUCAUUAGAUUCGCGAUUUAAUUUUCAAUAACUUUAAUUUUUAAUUUUUUAUUGAUUCAAUCACUGAGGUGUGAGUUAUUAUUCUUUUUUUAUAUGUAAAAUGACGUGGUGAAGAGAAAAAAUAACUUAAAUUUAAAUGUUUAACAUUUAAAAAUACUGAAUGUCUGUCCAUAUGAGACUCAACUUCUUCCUCUUCCAACAACCAAAAAUCUCACUCUCUAUUCUCCCUCCCAUCCCUAUGCCGACCGAUUCCAUAUGAGGCUCAACCGUUGAAAUACAAAUGAAUGGUAGAUUUCUACGAGACCUCAAAUGGAGAGAUGACGCUCAACCUCAUUUGAAAUCUACCUUAUUUAUAUAUAUUAAUUGCAAAAGAAAAAGUAAAGGAAAAAGAUUACAAGCUGUUAACAUCUAAUCCAUAAAUCAUAACUAUUAAUUAUACUAAUUAUUCUAAGGUUGUAAUAUCAUUAUAAUGAUAAUAGAGAUAUGGGCUGGCCCAUUUGUUAUUGGGCCAUUUGAAACAUGAAAUGAUCAAUACCAAUAAUACUAAUGUAAGAACUUUGCAAUGCAACAAAAAUCUUUCGAUUAUCGAUAUCCAAAAUAUGAAAGAUGAAUUGAGAGUUAUCCGUUCUAGCAGUAGUCAUGAACCCUAUUGUAAAUUCUUAUCGAUUGAAGAAGAUGUCACAUAUCCUGAGAUAUUUGGCAAAUAUUACAAUAAUUGCAUUGAUUUGCUUUUACAUUUCAUCCAAACAUUGGAAAGUAUGGAUGAUUAUUUUUUCGAAGAUGAGGUAAACCUUUUAUUUUAACUCGAUCACUUAUAAAUUUUGUCAAAAUUUCUACCAAUUUGAAGAACAAUUUUCAUGUAUGAACAUUCAAUUUUCAGGAGUUCAUAUCGAUGUACCACAAACGGCUGAAAACGAAUGAUUUGCUUGAAUUCUCAAAGAAAUCGAUAUUUUACAAAAGAGAUAUAGAGUAUUUGUUACAAAACAUACCAAAUCUCAAGGGAAAGCAAAUCACAACUUCAGAUUUGAUGAAAAUGGUUAUGGAAAUCGUAGAAAUCGACAAUAAAAAAGGAUCAUUGGAAGCAUUGAAGCUAACACAAUUAGCAAUAGAUGUCAACCAACCACCACCUCCGGCGAUCUUCUUACGAUUACACUCCAAGUAUAUCUUCGAGAACGAUCAUAAUGACAUACAAUUAGCAUUGAAGUUUGCAAAAUGCGCCGUUUCCGCAUGUCCCAAUUCGUUGGAUCAUAUAUUCUUCAAUGCCUCUCUACAGUACCAAGAAACAUCUAUGGCCUCUUCCAAUAAUAAAAUUAAGUACUGGAUGAUAUUGUUUGCAUGCGAAAAAUCAUUGAUGUUGGAGAGUGUUGCCGAAGCGGAUGAGUUUACCGCCAAAAUCAUACAACUGGUAGAUAAGAAAACCAAUGAGUUCAAAUCUAAAAUGGAAAUCAUUCUAUAUUUGAAAAACAAACUUCGUAAUUUGAUCAAUAUGUGUUACAGAAGUAUCGACGAUUUACCUACGUCUUUCCUUGACAACAUAACAUCCAAAACUAUCCCUCCAAGCGAAAAAUUGAAGUUGACAAUAGAGAUGUUUGAAAACCCUAAAUACAGGUUCUGCCCUUUUUUGUAUCGAGUAUACAGUGAGCUUUGUCACACUUUCGCUUUACAAUCUUUCGACGCCAAAGAUGGGUUUGGGAGUCAUUGGUUGAAAUCAGCUUAUAUUUCGGCUACUAUCGCCGACCGCAAUUUCCAUUCCUCCAUAGAAUAUGGGAUCAACCAUAUCACUCGAAAUUUACAAGUUUUGAAGAACUUCUACAUAGGACAAGCUGCAAUAAUAAGCCAAGAUUUGCAAUCUAUAUUUAACAACAAAAAUUACCAGGAACCUUACUACAAGUACCUGAUUAGCGACAAUGAGUAUAAGGAUGAUAAGCAACGCAAUGGCUAUUUUGUGAGCUGUGCUACCUUGCUGGAAGUUUAUGCAGUUACACUUGAACAGGAAUUUAAAGAUAAUAGCAAUGAGUUCAGCAGGACAAAUGUUUUCUACAAAGAAUUGAAAGACAUUGGAUUAACCGACUUUCCGAAAAAGGCUCCAGGAUUCUUUGCAAAUAUCAGAUAUUUGUUGGAAAAUCCUCCGACAGUACGGGAACGCUAUCAUGGGUUGUUGGAUGAUGAAGAAAAUGAAGAUUAUCAGCCAUCUAAAGAAAAGAAAGAUGAUAAAAAUAAGGCUAAAAUGAGAAAGAAAAAGAAUAAAAAUGCAUCAAGAAAAAAAUAAAGAUGACUUAACUGUUUGUUUUUAUUGUUUUUAACUGAAAAAGAAGUUAAUUAUUUUUUAAUAUUAGAAUAGUGAUUUUGUUCAAAUUGAAAUACCUAACAUUUGCCCUUGGCUAAUAUUCAGUUAUUAACUAAUUCACUAACUAGUAAUUAACCUCUAACUAUAUAUGUACCAAUAAUUUAUUCCAAAUAUCAUCUUUAAUUUAUAUCUUGUGGAAACUUCUGGUUCUCGAACCGCAAGCCAAUAACACACAAACUCUAGUCAACUCCUCAUUUGGUUUAGUAUACCUAUGAUGCAUUCGACUACGGUUUAAAGAAUAACUAACGAGGUUUGACCUCUCUCUCCCCACGCAUGCAAUCUCCUCAGACUGGCUACGCGCGCAAGCCCUUAGAGUUGUCCACGCACGUUCAGGCCCUCAGAGUUCUCCACGCACAUGCAAACCCUCAAAGUUAUCCCCGCACAUGCAUGCCCCCCAGAGUUGUCCUCGCACGGGUGAUACAUGAGAUCGACAAUGGGCCAGUUCCUCAGACUGACUGCAUGCACAGACUCUCAGAGCUAUCCAUACAUAAGAAAAAUCCGAGCCAACAGGCCACAACGUGCGCGUGCUCCCACUAACUAGUCGUGCUCACAGAGAUCCACAAUUGUUCAAGCAUGUAGAAACCCUCUAGAGUUUUCCCUACAUCACUACACAAAAACUGUCUAAAAAUGACGGAUUUUUUUGAGUAAAAAUGGAGGAAAUUCCUUCAUUUUUAGGCUUAAUGACGGAAUUUCCUUCAUUUGCACAAAUGCCUGGUUAUAGUUAAUUAUUAGUAGUUAAUGGGUAGUUAAUUAGAAUUAAAGAUAUUAAUUAAGGUUUGUAAAGAUAUUAUUUAUUCAAUUAAUUUAAUGUUUCAUAGUGUACAUGUUCUAAAAUUCAAUAUAUAUACAAGCAAAUAUAUAAUUACAUAUUUUCAAAUAUACAAAUAAAAUAAGGUAUGUGUGUGUUUUUUUUCCCAAUUUACAAAAAUUCGAAUGAAUUAUUAUUAUCAUUUUGUAAUGCAACUUUGAGGGUCGACGAAUCCUGAAAUGCUGCCUUUUGCAUAUUUGCAUGACGAUUUUGCUUUUCCACCAUGAUAAGUAAGUUUGAUGUUCUUCGUCAAAAUACCAUUGCAUGGAUUGCUUUUACUACAGUCGAACUUGACGGCGACUGAACUUGCCGACGAGCCUUGAAUGUCAUCAUAUGUUAUGUCGGAAACCUUAACCCCUGAAUUCUGUUUAAUAAACAUAUAUAACCAGAUAAAAUUAAUGAUUUUAAAUAUUUUGGGAUAUUUAGAUGUGGGUUAGGGUUAGUGAAUGUCAUCAUAAUUGAUUAAUGAAUUACCUGAUUUGGACAAUUUUUACUAUGCGGGCAAUAAUCUUGGUUGAUGAUGAUUGGAUUCUUCACAUUUUUCAUAAUAGACUCUUGAAAAAUAACACCUCGGACAAAUGCAGUGCUCGGCCUCCCCCAUGUCUUGAUCCUCAAACCAUUUUCACUUCCUGUGAACACAGUAUUCUUCACCGUUACAUUUUCCACCCCUUUCUCGCUGUAUGUUUUUCCAAUGCUCCCAAUGCUUAUCCCAUGCCCAGGACCACAAGCGAUGUGCUCUGCCCAGACAUUCCUUGCUCCCUCACUUAUGGAGAUGCAAUCGUCCCCCGUCUUUAUGUUUGCAUUACGGAUGGUGACAUCAGAAGAUCCUUGCACACUGAUUCCAUCAGUAUUGGGACUGUCGCCUGGUGCUAUUACAGUCACUCCUUUUAGCAUCGCUCUUUCAGAAGAACGAAUCACAAUAUGGAAUUGCUUGCUGUUUUUCGAUGUCAGACCAUUAACCACGAUGUUCUUUGAAUUAUCAAACAAUAAAUUCUGCACAGACAAAUUAAAUUAAUAAAUUAACAUGCAUGCAUGUAUACUAUAUAUUCAAAGUAUCUAGUUAUAAAUUAUGAUUAUAAAUAUACCUUCCAACCAGUUGGACAGUUCUUAUUUGAUUCCUUGCAUUUCCAUAGUGCCGCUCCUUGGCCGUCUAAGGUUCCUCCUUGGAUGGAAACUCCAUCGACUUGAUAAAAAACGAUCCAAUCAUCGCCCGCACCUUUAUAGUUGGAGGGAGCCACUAGGGUUCCAUCUAUCUGGAUUAUAAUGUUGGUAUUCUUGCACGGUCCUUGGAACUUGACAUGCCCGAUCGAGAAUCUUCCUUUGGGAAUGUAUAUGGUUGCACCAUUGGAAGAAGCACAUGCCAAGGACCAUGCUUGGAGCAAUGCGUUGGUCGAAUGAGAUUUUGCGCCCAAGUCCAUGAUGUUGUAGUCGGCAAUAGUGCCUAUUGUGAAAUAAAACAUUGGUAAGAGGAUGGAGAGGAGUGCAUAUUUAGCCAUGAGUGGAUGAAUGAAUGAAUGAAUGAAGAUGGUUGUUGUUUGAGGAUGUUAUUUAUAUUACAUAUGGAGGAGAGAUUUGAUUUGAUUUUCCAACGUUAAAGAAUUUGAUACGAUAUGGAUAAAUGAUCAAUAAUGACUUUGGGUUUUUCUCAAUUGAAUAAACAUGGGUGAAUUCCAUCUAAAUUAGCAUACGUGGAUUUGGAUCAAAGGAUGUUUUUUUAAAGAGUUGAAAGAAGUUCUAUCUGAAUUAGCUACGUGGAUGUUGAUUUAAGGAUGUUUUUUUAAAGAGUUGAUGGAAGUUCCAUCUGAAUUAGCUUACGUGAAUGUUGUUUUAAUGAAAAUCGGGCAAGAAUCAAUAAUUUCAACCCAUGAAUUGAAUGGAGUUACUUGAUUUAAGGAAGAAAGCCAUGCAUGGUGUCGGGUCCGCAGUGAUCGAUAAUAAAAAUAACAAAAAUGUGGGUCGACGUUAAAUUCAAUUACUCCACAUGUACAUUAAAUUCAGGAACUUUUCAUUUCAAGGAUUAUCUUAUUUCAAACGUUGACAUUAAAAAUAGGUUUCAUAUAUAUUUUUAAUAUCGCCAUAAAAAAUCAAGUCAAAAUUAAACAGUAGCUAUAGUUAGGUAAUAUUCGAAUAUGUCUACUCGAAUUCGAAUUUACGGAUAUAAAAAAUGAUAUUCGAACAAAUUCAGAUGUCUGCAAUAUUCGUCAUUAAAAUUCAAAUUUGGUUGAUAAUUUCGAAUACGAAUAAAUAUAAAUUGAUUUUCAGAUAUCUUGCUAGUCGAUGAGGAAUCGUCUGACGAUGGUACCAUAUGAUAGAUCGAAGAUAUGAGAUAUCCGUGUUGAGUGUUGGGUUGAGGUUAGAAGUUGAUAGCUGGAGAGGAGUGAACUACUGAGGGUGAUGAUCGAAGAAGAAGAUGAAUGAAUUCGUUUGGCCACCUACCAGUGGGUUGUUGGUAGUGUCUGCAUAAACUUGCAGAUCUGAUUUACAGCGAACGCAAUAUCUGGUUGGGUAAUGCUUAGGUAUUGUAGUCCUCCAACCAGACUGCGAUAGGGCGUUGGGUCUUCAAUGGGAGUUCCAGAAUCGGCCGAUAAGUGAAUCAAUCGUAAAUUUCUUCUGCAAGAUUUCUGAUUUUUAUUUUAUUUUUAAAUUCGAAUUAAUUUCCUAAUCAUAAUUAAUUGAGAGUUAUUAUAAUCUUUUCAACUCUAAUUAAUUCUUUCAUUAUUAAUUUGAUUACUAAAUUUUUCUUUUGUUAAAAUUUGACAUCUUAAAUGAAAUAAAUAAAGAUGUUUAAAUUAAUAUAUUAAAUGAGAACAUCUCAAAUCAAAUAAAUAGGAACGUCUCAAAUCGAAUUUUACUGUUGAAGUAUCUAGGCGUGCCUCUAGUAGGAAGGGAUAUUAAAAGAGUGGAUUGUGCUCCGCUAAUUGAUCAACUAAAUUCUUAUCUUCAAAAGUGGAAAAACAGAGCUUUGUCCUAUGGAGGUAAAGUCUAACUUACAAAUUGAGUUCUAGUAGGGAAGCUUCAGUAUUGGUUUCAAGGUCUCAAAAUUCCCAUGACGGUUAUCAAAAAAACACGGCAAAUCAUUUAUUGGUUUAUUUGGGGAGAUUCUAAAGGUAUGACAUGGAGACUAUGGCUAAGGAGGACGGGGGCCUAGACUUGGCGGACCCGGUGCUGCUCGCAAGAGUUGCUAGGGUCAAAUGGGCACAUAGAAUCUGGAAUGGGAGUUCUCCUUGGGCGGUUUGGAUGCGAGCACGAUAUUCCAAAGGGAGAGAGUUGGCUGAUAUCCAAACCCACCCAAAGAUUUCCCGAUCUGGUCUAGCAUUCUGAAAGCCAAAGAUGAUAUCGAAUUAUGCUACUCUGCAGGGCUGGAUCGCUCAGCUAAUGGAAGUAUAAAAUCGAGCCUUAUAAGAGCAAAAUUAUCACCGACAACGAACUCUGACCCUCUGGCCGCUGGUGUGUGGACAUGUCGUGCCUCAAAGAUGGCCUUCUGCUUAUGGAGACUGAGAUGGAAAAAGCUAAGAACAUUCGAUAAAUUGAAAAACUGGGGGAUAGUGGUAUCGGCAAAGUGUGUCCUAUGUGAUGCAACUGAGGAAACGACAACCCACCUAUUUUUUAAUUGUGAAUUCAGCUGGAUUCUUUGGAACGAAUUUACACGAUUGACAGACUAUGCUCUAUGGAAGAUUAUGGGUAUCACAGCGAUAAAGCAAGGAGAUAUAAGGGUGGGUGAUAUCAUAAAAGGGAUAUCCAAAUUCAGGAAAUCAACACUAUGUUGGGGACUACAUUGGAAUGCACUUGCAAUAUAUAUAUGACAUCUUUGGAGGGAGAGGAAUCCACGACAUACGGAGGGACUCUCUCAGCCGGUUAGGAUCAUCACAAGAGAUUUCAUAAGAGAUUUGACUAUCAUCUAUGACUACCGCCUAUAUAAAAAAUCACACAGGUUAAGUUUAGAAGAUACAACUAUUAGAAGAUGGGAAUGGUGAGACAUGCUUGAUUACGGCAGUCACUCUCAAUAACGCCUUUCAACAAGGACUAGGGUUCCGUCGCUUUACGCCGGACCCCCGAAAGGCUCCCACGGUGCGGAACAAGUUCAUCGUCAAAUCGCCGAGUUAACCCGUAAAUCGCGAUUGAACUACCAAGUCGCCGACUUUAGGGAUAAGUCGCCGAGUUAGGGCCCAGAUCGGCAGUAUGGUAGACUGCACAUCUCGCCCCUGGAAACUCGGCGAGCUUGCCCUAAAUAGGCGAUUUCCAUACCUGAAUCGCCGAGUUACGACCGUUACUCGCCGCCAGCCAACGCCAUAAAUGCUCCCAUCUAUGACAAUAGGCGCGAUGUCCGCCUUUGAUCGCGCCCUCCGAGACCCUAUAAAAAGGGUCCCAAGGGGAUACUCAAAGGCACAACACAAGUUCUACUCUCACCAGAGAAUCACUAAGAGACUCGCCGAUUCUCACUAGAAUCGUCUAAUCUCUACCUGCAGGUAAUUGACGUAGAGCGCGAGUCGUGGACUCCAGAGCCUCCGACAUCACCUCGCACCACCGCGAGACCCUGGUAGCAGAUUCAGUGUUUCAUCAGGGCGAGAUGUGUAGUCUACCAUACUGCCGAUCUGGGCCCUAACUCGACGACUUAUCCCUAAAGUCGGCGACUUGGUAGUCCAAUCGCGAUUUACGGGUUAACUCGGCGAUUUGACGAUGAACUUGUUCCGCACCGUGGGAGCCUUCCUGGGGUCUGACGUAAAGCGACGAAACCCUAGUCCUUGUUGAAAUACGUUGCUAGGAGUGACUGUUGUAAUCAGGCAUGUCUCACUAGUACUCCUCCCUGAAGAAAGCACAAGAAACAUGCGUGUAUCGCCAGUACUCCCCCCAACCAAGGUUCUGUGUGUGAUCCGUAUCAAGGCUAAAGCGACAAGAUGAGAUCGAAUCAUUCCGCCCACAGUGACAUACUGAUUCCGUAUCCAUUAUGGCUUAAGCGACAGAAUGGAUUAACUCUGGCCGGGUUGAACCGACAGAAUCGAGUUCCAGGCCAACAUAACUACCUGUUUAUAGUCUAACCCUGAUCGAGAGAGGUUUAUAGUCGAGACAUGCUUGAUUACGUCAGUCACUCCCAGCAACGCCCCUCAACAAGGACUAGGGUUCUGUCGCUUUACGCUGGACCCCCGGAAGGCAUUCACGGUGCGGAGCAAGUGUCUACGUCAAGUCCUCAAAUCAACAUAUGGGAGUAGCCGAUUCCAGUGGGGAGUAGCCGAUUCCAGUGGGGAAUAGCCGAUUCCCCCUGUGCAGGCGAUUCCCACCUGAGUAGGCGAUUCCCACACUUGAGUAGGCGAUUCUCAGCCGUUACUUGAGUUGGCCCACACCAUUAUGGCACCAUUAACCGGGCGCCAUAAUGGUGUGGGCCCCAGACCAUUGAAUGGAGAAACCUCCCAAAGACCCUAUAAAAGGGGUCCUUGGGGGUCCUCCAUUCUCAUGUCACCUUGACUCACAACACUCCACACUAGAGCAACCAAGGAGCCCGAAUCGCCGACUCCCACAUCUGAGUUGUCGAUUCCCCUCCUCUUCUGCAGGUAUUUGAUGUAGAGCGUGCGUCGUGGAUUCCAAAGCCUCCGGCCCUUCUCGCAACCCCGCGAGCCUACUGGUAGCAGAUUUCGUGCUUCAUCAGGAUGGUUGCUGCUAUUGGGUCGAAGCAACAGACUACGAGUGGAAGUUCUUCCGAAGUGUCGGAAGCUAUGGGUAGGUACCUGCCCCCCCCAGGUGUCACAAAACAGAAAUUUUUUUGUAUAAUAUUUCUUCGUAGUUUUGUGACCCCCUUGAGCAGUACUACUAGUCCCCAAAGUUUGAAAUUAGCAAAAAAAAUCGCAAAUUUUUUGCAAUUUUUCUGCAGAAAAUCGUGCCACCAGAGGUGGUUUUUGGGAUGCCUGUUUAGACCUAUCCCAAAAAAGAUUCCUUGCACUGUUGGGAAAUUCUGCUUUUUUUGUACUCGUAGAGAAAACUUUUUUCACGUGAUGUGUGGUCUCAGAAUCCCAAAAUCGGAUAUGGGAAUUCCGGAGGUGGACCGACAGGAUCACUGGAAGUGAAAAAAGGUGAAAAGCCCCAUACUUUUUUUUUUUACCGAAACGACGAUGAAUCCAGCCAAAGCGAUGGAUUUUCGUUUCGGUCAAAGAGAUGGGCUAUGAGUGGUCUUAUUCAGCCAAAGCGAUGAAUGAAGACAAGGACCAAAUCGACGACUCAGGUCGAUUCAGGUGGGAAUCGACGAUUCAGAUGAAGAUAGGUGAUUUUUUAUGAAAAAUCCAACCUAUAUGAAAGUGAAUGUUCCAGAGCAAAAGGCAUUGAUAGCACUUGUUCAAAAAGCUAAAGGAAUCGGUGACUCCCUAGGUGGAAUCGACGAUUCAAUUUAUGGGCCUUUUGAACCAAGCCGUGGACAACACUUUUAGCUAGCAGACUUAUCCCGGAAUCGACGACUCACUAGGUGGAGUCGGCGAUUGCUGGUAUGAAUCGACGAUUCAUUGACACAAAGUCAGAGAUUCACCCCAAGAGAAUCGUGCCGAACUUUGCGAAGAAAAUUUCGCGAUUACGACGGGACAUCGUAGUUCGAUAGUCCCACAGACGGCGCCAGCUGAUGAAGCACGAAAUCUGCUACCAAUGGGCUCGCGGGGUUGCGAGGAGGGCCGGAGGCUUUGGAGUCCACGACACGCGCUCUACGUCAAAUACCUGCAGAAGAGGAGGAGAAUCGACGACUCACGUGGGAGGCGGCGAUUUGGGCUCCUUGGUUGCUCUAGUGUGGAGUGUUGUGAGUCAAGUGGAGAUGGGAAUGGAGGACACCCCUAGGACCCUUUUUAUAGGGUCCUGGGGACGUUUCCCCAUUCAUUAGCGUGGGGCCUACUCCAUUAUGGUGUCCAAUUAAGGGUGCCAUAAUGACGUGGGCCCUCCCAAGUAAUGUCUGGGAGUCGGUGACUCAGGUAUGGGAGUCGCCGAUUCAGAGGUGGAGUCGCCGACUCCCUUGGGAUCAGUUCCUCGGUCUACCAGACCUGAGUGCCCUGUCCGGAGUCGGCGAUGCACCCCUGGAAUCGGCGACUUGGUAGUCCCAGUUGACGAUUCCCAGGUGUUGCCUUGAGUACUUGACGUAGACACUUGCUCCGCACCAUGGAAGGUUUCCGGGGGUCCGUCAUAAAGCAACGGAACCAUAGUCCUUGUUGAAGGGCGUUGCUGGAAGUGACUGACGUAAUCAGACAUGUCUCACCAGAUUAUAUUUUAAUCAUGUUAAUUUUAUCCCUAAUUAUACUAUUAAUCUAAAGGAUAAAAUUAGUCAAGAUUAAACCUAAAUUAAUUGGUGAUACAGUAUCCCGAACACGGUCACAACCUACCAGCAAUUAGAAGUCCGGAUAGCCUAAGAUGAGUGGAGGUAUCUAUUCUAGGGUUGGGGAGGUCCCAGGUCGAAUCCUAGGAAGAUCGACUUUCCGGAGGAUCGACUUCCCUGGGAUCGACUUUUGAGUAAAGUCGAUCACCAGGAAAAGUCGACCCCCAGAAAGUCGAUCUCUGGAAAGUCGAUCUCUGGAAAGUCGACCCCUGGACCCAAUCUGAUCAGUUGGGCAGUUAGGCGGUUACUGCCCAAAUGCCCAGAGUUCCCCGCUUGGCGCUUGCUUGCGCGUCUUAGAGUACUGGUCGGGUUUCACCCCCAUCAGUUGGCGCCGUCUGUGAUUCAAAGAUACUCACGACAAAAGCUCCUCGACUUUUUCGAAAAAAGGGAUCGACUUUUUUCCAAGUCGCCAGCUAGGAAGUUUUGCGAGGAAAUCAGCCAGCAAGGGAUCGACAUUUCAGGAGAUCGACUUUUUCUUCCAAGGAAAAGUCGACCCCUCAAGGAGCUAGGCUUUCAGACAUAGGCUUCCAAGGAAUCCUCCAAGUGCACUAGGGAUCGACUUUUUGAAGAUCGACUUUUCUCUCCAGGCAAAAGUCGAACACUCCUUCCAAAAAAGUCGAACACUCCAGAAUGGUGGUAACUCGAAGCACUUCCCAAGGAGGAGGAGAAAAUUCGCAGGAGGCGCCAGAGCAACAACCUGACAAUUCAAAAACUAAAAGGCCGGUGGGUCGACCACCCAAGGCCAAUAAAAACAAGAGGACUCCCACGGGACCUGAGGCUGACCCCGAAGGCGAACCCGAGCAAACCCCCCAAGCUUCAGCAGGAGGGGAAAAUCUGAACAUCACAGUUCAGGCAAUAGCAGAGGCCAUCCGACUCCUUGCUGAAAAGGAGAAACCUUCGGAAGAACAACCUCAGAAGGAGGGACCCACAAGCAGCAAGGGACCAAGGGCUGCUGCAUCAGAAUCCACUCAUGGGUUCAUAAAAGUGCCCAUAGAAGAGCUGGAGAAAAUGAAGGAUACCAUAGCAAAAAUGAGCGAGAAGAUAAAGGAUAUUGAAAAAUCUAAGGCAUCAAUAUACCGGUCAAAAGCUCAAACCUCAAAGCAGGCCAAGGCGCAGCAGGAAGUGUCAAGUCAUAGGGCAGCACACUCAAGCGCGCCACUACCUCGCAAACCAGAGGAACAACCCAAACCUCUUUUCCGAAAACCCGUACAGGAAGAAAGUACGGGAGACACAGAAGAAGGAGGUGAGGUCCCAAAUUGGCUGGUAGGCAUGGAUGCUUUGCACAAAUCGCUAAUGGUAAAACCAGCACCUCUAAAGUUCAAGCUACCCAGGCUCCAGGUUUAUGAUGGGAAGAUGGACCCAGCAGACCACAUAAAUAUGUUCGUAGGGGCAAUGCAGUGGGCCACAUCAAGGGAUGACAUUCUCUGCAGAGCAUUCCCAGGAACACUGAAGGGACCUACAUAUAGGUGGUUCGUCGAACUUCAGCCAGGGAGCAUAACGAAUUUCGAGGACUUGAAAAAGAAGUUCGUCGCCCAACACUGUGGAAACACAAGGGUAAGAAAGGGCACAGAAUCACUGUUUGCAAUCAAACAAAAUGGAGAUACGCUCUGGAAUUAUACAACUAAAUUCACGGAAGCCAUGCAAAAAAUCUCCGAUCUGAACACAACAAUCGCAAUAUGCGCAUAUUCGAAAGGGCUAGACAUGAACACGCCAUUAGCAAUAAAGCUAAACGUAAGUAAUGUAAAAUGCAUGGAGGACCUGCUGACAAAGGCCCAAAAAUACAUAAACUCUGAGGAGUAUGAGAAAGAAAAAGAAAAAGAGAAAGGUGCCAUAAGCAACAAAAAAGCAUAUGAAGCACCAAAAAGAAAAUUCCAAAAAGGAGAAUCAUCCUGGAGACCAAAACAUGACGGAAAGGUCUACCAAACAUCUGAGGAGUUCGGGAAAUCAAGAUACAAAGACUUGGGAUUUACGGUUUUCAGCACUCCAAAAGAGGAAAUCUAUAAUAAAGAAAAAGGAAGAAUAAGGUUUCCUCAACCAGAAGAGUUGAACCCUACAACGAAAGAGGCUCGAACAAGGAGGAACAGGUAUUGCAAGUUCCACAAGGAUUAUGGGCACAAUACAGAAAAUUGCAGGGAGCUGAGCACCUUCCUAGACACACAAGUAAAGGAGGGGAAGCUGAAGCAAUAUAUAAAUAAAGUAGAAAGGGGGCGACAAGGCUGCAGGGACCCGAAAAACAAGGGUAAGCGCCAACGCUCAAGAAGUCCAGAUUCAGACACUGACCACAAAAGAAGGGUAAUUAACUUAAUCUUCGGUGGAGGAUCGGUAGGAGAAAGCAGAAGUUACUCGCGCAAAGUGAUGCAGACAACAACGGUACCGAAAUCUAAAAAAAGAUCGUACCCAAGCGAGGAAAUAAGCUUCUCUGAGGAAGAUCUGGACAACGUGGUCAGCCCACACGAGGAUCCACUAGUAAUACAAGUGGAUAUAGGGGAUGACUUAAGUCUGAACAAGGUAAUGGUGGACAACGGCAGCUCGGUAGAUAUAUUAUACCUAGCGACGUUCGAAAAAAUGGGCUACAAAGUGGAUCAACUAACCCCGGCCAAGGAAGCCAUCUAUGGGUUUACAAACACAAAGGCCCCAGUAGCAGGAGCCAUCGAUCUACAGAUAUCCCUGGGAAAAAGAAACGGGAGAGUAUCACGCACAGCACACUUCAUUGUGGUCAACAUAGACUCUCCGUUCAAUGGGAUCCUGGGCAGACCAAGCAUUCACGGUUUCAAAGCGAUACCAUCAUCCUACCAUCAAUGCUUCAGGUACCCAGGAAAAGAUGGCAAAAUGGCAACAAUUUUUGGAGCACAGAAAGACUCCAGAAAUUCGUACAGGAAGGCAACUAAAAUAGCUAAACCUAUAACCCUGUACAUUCAAGAAAGAGAGGAGGAAGAAGACACAACCUCAUCUAAUCAAGUUGAGGAAGUCAAACUCUCAAAAGGAGGAGUCCUGAUAGGGACAUCUUUAUCCUCCAAGUUAAAAGAAUCACUACUGCAGCUAUUAGAAGCCCAUGUGCACACGUUUGUAUGGGAAGGGGAGGCACCCUCACAGGUACAGCGUACUAUAACGUGCCAUGAGCUCAAUAUAGACAGUAACUUUACUCCUAUACGGCAGAAGCGAAGAAUACUCGCAGCUGAAAGAAAGGAGGCAGCACAAGCUGAAGUUGAUAAAUUAAUCAAAGCUGGGCACAUCCGGGAAGUCAAAUAUCCAAAGUGGUUAGCAAACCCAGUUAUGGUCAAAAAAUCUAACGGGAAGUGGAGGAUGUGUGUAGACUUCACAGAUCUCAACAAAGCAUGUCCAAAAGACAGCUACCCUCUCCCAUCCAUCGACAGAUUAGUGGAUGCAGCAUCAGGAAAUGAGUUACUAUCCAUGAUGGAUGCACAUUCAGGGUACAAUCAGAUCUUGAUGAAAGAAGAUGAUGAAGAGGCUACAUCAUUCAUCACAGAAUGGGGGACAUAUUGCUACAAAGUCAUGCCUUUUGGCCUACGAAAUGCAGGAGCAACCUUCCAAAGGCUAAUGGACAAGGUAUUCAAAAAGCAGGAAGGAAGAAAUGUCCUGGCAUAUGUAGAUGACAUUCUGGUAAAAUCCAAAAAAGCAGAUGAGCACCCAAAUGAUCUGAAAGAAACCCUAGAAACUCUGCAGAAUUAUGGGAUGAGGUUAAACCCUGCCAAGUGCAGCUUCGGAGUACAAGAAGGAAAGUUUCUUGGAUUCUAUGUAGGGCAGAAAGGGAUAAAACCAAACCCAGAUAAAAUAGCAGCGAUACUGGAAACAGCACCACCUCGAACAAUAAAGGAGGUACAAAAGCUGAAUGGAAAAAUCAAUGCCUUAAGUCGGUUUAUUUCCAAAACAGCAGACAAAUGCAAACCCUUUUUCCAGCUACUAAAAACUAGUCAAAAAGGGGCAAUAACAUGGACUACAGAAUGUGACGAGGCGUUUCAACAGCUCAAAGCACAUUUGGCCUCUCUACCACACCUAACUUCGCCAAAAGUUGGGGAGGAGUUGUACGUCUACGUAGCAGCUUCAGAAGAGGCUAUCAGCGCAGUUCUAAUAUGUCAAAGGGACAGUGAACAGAUCCCGAUAUAUUAUCACUCAAAAAUGCUACAAGGGGCAGAAACAAGAUAUCCUACAGUGGAAAAGAUAGUCCUGGCAGUAGUACAUGCAGCACGCAGAUUCAGAGCAUACUUCCUAGCUCAUACAAUCAAAGUCUUAACAGAACAUCCACUGCGCAGAAUCCUCCACAGGCCAGAUACUUCCGGAAGAUUAACGAAGUGGGCACUGGAGUUAAGCGAGUUCGAUGUAGAUUUUGUUCCUGCCACAGCCAUUAAAGGGCAAGCAGUUGCAGACUUUAUUAUAGACAUGACCCAGGAAAGCAAAGAAAAACCUUGGAUAGUAGAGGUUGAUGGCUCAAGCUGCAGUACAGGUGCAGGAGUGGGAAUAAAGAUAAUCACUCCAGACCAACGAAUAUAUGAACAUUCCAUCAGAUUACAGUUCUCAGCUACGAAUAAUAUAGCAGAAUACGAAGCUGUGAUCCAAGGAAUGAAAAUCCUCAGAAGGUUAGGGGCAUGUUCAGUAAUUAUUAGAACAGAUUCUCAAUUAGUGGCUCGGCAAUUCACAGGAGAGUUCACUGUUAAAGAACCUCUAAUUGUACAGUACGCAGCCACACUGGAAAAAAUUAAAGAACAAUUUACUAAGGUUGAAGUAGAGCAGAUACCAAGGAGUCAAAAUAACUCAGCUGAUGCCCUAGCAAAGCUAGCUUCUGCUUUCGAGGGGGGGCAGAGAGAGAUACUAGUUGACAAAGCAUCUACACCUUCUUGUAACUUAGUCACGAUUCAGGCAGAAGACUGGAGGAAGCCCUUGAUAGAAUACUUCGAGGGACAGAAACUUCCUGAAAAUAAAAAUGAAAGACGCAAGUUACAAACACGCGUUUCAAGAUUCUGCCUAAUCGGUGAAAUUCUGUAUAAGAAAUCCUACGACGGACCUCUAAUGAAAUGUGUCUCAACAGAAGAAGGACAAUUCAUUAUAGAGGAGAUUCAUCAAGGAGUAUGCGGAAUACAACAAGGGGGGAGAUCUUUGGCCCAAAGAAUAAUAAGGCAAGGAUACUUCUGGCCCACACUAAAAAAAGAUGCAGUCCUAUUUGCAAGAAAAUGCAAGGCCUGUCAAAUACACAAGAACAUACAGAGAAAUCCCGCAACUCAGCUAACAGGGGUAGAAAGCCCCAUCCCCUUUGCAAUGUGGGGAUUAGAUAUUGUGGGACCAUUUCCAGUAUCGACAGGCCAAGCUAAAUUUAUAUUUGUGGCUGUCGAUUACUUUACUAAAUGGGUCGAGGCAUUGGCUGUACCCAAGAUAACUCAAGGAGCAGCAACGAAAUUUGUCUUCAAAUGCAUAAUGUGCAGAUUCGGUGUUCCAAUACAUAUAGUGACAGAUAACGGUACACAGUUUACCGGUGGGGAGUUUACGAGAUUGUGCGAGAACAUGGGCACUAGAAUCCAUUUUUCAUCGGUAUACAGACCACAGGGUAAUGGGCAAGUAGAAGUCACAAACAGAGCCAUCGUUCAGGGACUGAAGAAAAAAGUCGAACAGGCCAAAGGUUCGUGGGCAGAUCUGCUACCAGAGAUCCUGUGGGCGUAUAGAACCACUGAAAAGACACCCACCGGAGAAACCCCGUUCUCACUAGCAUAUGGAAUGGAAGCACUAAUCCCAACAGAGCUAAGCAUUCCAACAGUCAGAGUGUUAUCCUAUGACAUGGAAGAAAACAUGAGAUCAUGCACGAUAACUCUGGACUUAGUGGAUGAGCUUAGGGAUAAUGCACAGGCAAAGAAUGCAGCUUAUAAACAAAGUAUCGCUAGAUAUCACGACAAGAAUGUCAAGGGUAAAGCGAUAAGAAAAGGAAGCCUAGUAUGGAGAAGAGCGAGUGUCGGCAGAAAAGACUGCUCUAAAGGCAAACUAGGCGCAAAUUGGGAAGGACCAUAUGUGGUGGAGGAAGAACUCCGACCAGGCACGUACAAGUUAAAGCGGGAAGAUGGAACAGACAUUCCUAACACUUGGCACGCAGAUAACCUACAGUUGUACUUUUAAACAAUUAAGUAGGAUUAUAUUACUCUUGUAAUAGUUUGAACUACGUAACUAAUAUGUUAUUUAGUUAGCUAUCAGAACACUUGAAAAUACAUUCCAUAUAUUGAUUUAAAAAGAAUUACAAAGGAAUGUAAAUAGAUGAAAGGAUAAGAUAGAGGAUUAAUCUAUUUUAGGAGAGGGGCUUUAGAGCCCUCUGCAUCGUUGUUGUCUUGAUCUUCUAUAGAGAAAUCUUUAUCAAGCGCCUCCAGAACCUCCUCUUCUUCAUUAUUCUCUUCAUUCUCUUCAUCCUCUUCUUCCGCAAGCGCCCGAUUUCGAACUUCAGUAGCUUCCUUGGGGUACUUGCGGGCCCAGUCAUGGACAUCUGCAGCCUCGAAACCAGGGCAAACAUGAAGACCCAGAUCAACCAAGUCAUUAUAAUCUUGCACAUUGACAAGAUAGUCAGCUUGGAGCUUCUCCAGAUGGUUGAUCACACGUUGAAGCUCUUCAGUUGCAAGUCGAGCUUCCUCAGUUGCACGUUGAGCUUCCACAACUGCACGGUUGACCACCUCAGUCUUUGCUUGGUCCGCUUCUUCCAGUCGCAUUAUUGUUUUCUUAUACUCAUCCUGCGACUCCAGCAGCUUCUUAUUCUCAUCAUGACUCUCACCCAGUUGGCGGGAAAAUAUGGCAUUCUGUGUCCGACAGGUGUCAAGAUUCACCUCAACAUUCUCGCGCUGAAGCUCAAGAUCAGCGAUCAUCGACUCUUUAAUGAUGACCUUGGCACGUUCAGCUGUGAGUUCCAACCUUGCAGCCCCCAACUCUCCCAUAAGUUUGGAGAUUUCCUGCUCUUUUUCUCUCAAGAAAGUCCUUUGAGCAGCCCAAUCCGCAGACAACUUCUUAUUGGUUUCAGACAGAGUUGAGGCGUCUGUAAUUUUCUGUGCAACCUCACCUUCCAGAUCUCUGCAUCGGCGCUUCGCUCUCUUCAACUCGUCUUCCGUAGACUGAGAGUCACGAAGGCGAGACAGGGAAGAGAUGCGACCCUGGAACAAAUGGGUGAGCUGCAAAAAGAAAAAAUGGGUAAGGACACGCUCAUAAAAAUAACUAAAAAAUAAAGAACACUCACGUUGCUCAAGUUCUGUCCGAUUUCUUCGACAACCCGGUCCAUCGGAUACCCAGAGAUGGCCCGCAGUGUGGUUCGGGUGGCAUCCGUGUCAGGGGUCACGAGAAAUCUGGACCCAUAGUUCCGGGGGUGCGAACCUUGAUACCCCGGCAGUUGCGUCUCCCGGGUGGAAGAAUAAUUGAAGCGGCCCCGGGAGGACUCCCCAGAAUAAUAGUUCUUCUUGCGAAGAGGACUUCGUCGCCUGGGGGAGGGUCUCCUCUUCCUCGGAGGAGAUGAGUCGGUCCUAGGGGGAGGAGUUCGUUCUUUUCUUUUUCCCCUCUCAGAGACCUCUUUCUCUGUAGUUUUUUCAGUCUGCUUAGACUGAAUCUCUUUCUCUGCUGUCUUCUCCGAUUUUUCUCGCUCUUCUUCUGACUGAGUACGGAAGAAGUGAGAAAGCCUCGAACCAGCAGGAGACUGCGCAGGAGUAGCGUCUUUGGGUACCUCCGAAGGUACCUCCCCUUCCUCAGUUCGUGGGACUUCGUUAGGAGGAGUAGGGGACUUCGCCAUAGUAUAGGCAUUCUCUAGAGCACGCUGCCUCAGAUGAUCAGCAUCAGAAGGUUUGGAGGCAGCGGCAUAAACUUUUGAACCCGUUUCAUUUUGUCCAACGCGUUCAGGGACACCUCCGGGGUUAUGCAUAUAAAAAUCUGCAAGGAAUAAAAACAGAGUUAGAAAAUACACAUGUGUAUAGAAAACAUAAAAGGAAAACAGGCAAAGGAAGACCUUGUCGGUUAAAAGUAUCUUCAAUCGCGUGACCGACAGGCACAGCGAUAGGAUGCAAAAAGGCCAGCUUUUGCACGGAAGCUCCCUCAUCCUCAGUCAGAUCAGGACGAGGAAUGGGUUUACGGCCACUAGUGGAUGCAGGAAGAAGUCUGCUACCGAGGCAUAACCUGCAAUCCACAAAAAUAAACUCACUCUUGCUCCGUCUGGUCGGAGGAUCUUUCAAGAGGGCAGAGUGAGUAAUAGAGGUUGCACGGCUGGCACAUGCAAUAAAAGGGCUGCCCUUCUUCGGAUUUUGGAAUGUGAAGAAGUGGAAGAACAGCCGAGCAGUGGAGACUAUGCCAGCAUCCCUAAGGAUAUUAAUGAAUCCCCGGACAUAAAAGAAGAAGGCAGCACCCAUCUGAGAUAUACAUAAUCCAGAGUACAAGAGUAUUUCACUAACUAGGGAAGGAAUCGGAAGGAUUGGAAAGUUAGUGAAAUAAAUUCGGUGAAGUGCCAGCAUGAAAUAGGGAGGCACGUCACCAGUAUUCUCAGAGGGGUACGCCCAGUACACUCUCUCUCUAAGCUCCAACCCCCUAAGAAUUCUUUGGGCGGCAUCCAGGGAAAGGGUGUUGGAGCAGCUACCCGCAUUGGAGGAAAGGGGGUAGCCUGGAAUAUCAGUCAAAGAGACUGCACAGAAGGAACCAUAUCCAGUCCCGUACUCGCCCCGGUCAAGGAUAGGGACGACGUGGAAACCGUUACGAACAAGAACGGACCACUGACGCCAAGAACCAUCGAUCUCCCGAUAGAAGGAUGGGGCGUGCUUCUCUUCAAGGGGAGAAGGAAAGGGGUAUUUGUCCCUCGUCUCAGAGGGGUAACCCAUAGGGGAAUUCUCAAGAACAUGAAUAUUCUGACUACAGACUUCGGGAGGAAGUUGAGCAGAACUGCCUGUAGUCACAGAUAAAACCUCCGAAGUAGGAGUCUCCUCAGGAAUGGAAGUCAAAAUGAUAGUAGGAGGAGGAGUCCUGACAACGGAGGGAGGGGUUCCUCCAAUAUCUACAUCCUCCGAGGAAGAAGAGUAAUAGGAGGAACCCGAGCUUCCCGAGCUAGAGGUAGAAGACCCCGAACUGGAGCGUAUGGGGGAAGAGUGGGGAGCACCUACAAACAAAAAAGAAACAAAUAAAGAGUAAGUUACGAAAUAAAUAAUAAAUAAGUAACUUACUAGGAGGUACGGGCUUGCGCGUACGACGGGAAAGAGUCUUUCUCUUACUUCCAAUAGGCACGGAAGGUGAAGCUCUAGGCUCCGGUGCGACAGGAGCAGUCUGAACAGACUCCGGUUCAGCAGAGGGAUUCUGAACCUCGAUACUUAUGAUUUCGGGGAUCUGAGGAGCGUCUUGCUGCGAGUUCUUGUCAGAAGACAUUAUAAAACCUGCACGAAGAACAGAGCAGUUAGGCCAAGUUAAGGCAAAAGUCGAUCCCAAGAAAAGUCGACCUAGACUUAAGGGAAUCGAACUGGCAAUAUAAGGGAAGUCGAUCCCAGAAAAGUCGACUGUCAGGAGACAAAGGUCUCAAGAAGUCGAUCACAGGAAAGUCGACUGUCAGGAAGUCGAUCCCAGUAAAAAUGGAUCCAACUUUGAAAAGUCGAUGACAAGUCGUCAAAACUCACAAAGUCGAACCACAGUCCAAUGGGGAACAACUUCGAAAGGGACCGACUUUCAGAAAAGUCGGACCCCAAGGAAGUCGAACCCAGUGCAGUCUCAGUAGAGCCCGACAACAAAAGUCGGACCCCAGAAAGAUGCACCUCCAAGGCUAAAGUCGAAGCCUCACGCACGCUGGAAGUCGAAGCGAAGAAGCUGGAAAUCGAAGCGAAGAAGUCGAUGCGAAGAAAGUCGAUGCCUCAGAGCGAUGGAAACAAGUGGAGAGGAAGUGAACCCCCCUCCGCUAUUUAUAGGGGAAAGUCGAAGACGAACCGUCGCGGGCACUGUUCAUCCGGGUCGACCCGUUGGGCCGGGAAGCCCACGGGCCCGGCAGGCCCACGACGGCCCAGUCCGUGAAAAAACCCCAAAACCCAACUAGAUGGCAUCGACAUUUCAGGAAGAUUCAUCGACAUUUCAGAAAAACCAUCGACAUUCAGCAGAAAAUGAAGUCGACAUUCCCAGAAAAGGAGGAUAGGCGUCGACAUUUACCAAGGAAUUCGUUGCCUUCAAGAGAAAAGGCCAGGAUCGACAUUCCGCAGGAAAGCAAGUUCGACAUUCCCAGAAAAGGGGGAUAGGCGUCGACAUUUGGCAAGGAAUUCGAUGCCUUCAAAAAAGAAGGCCAGGAUCGACAUUCCGCAGGAAAGCAAGUUCGACAUUCCCAGAAAAGGGGGAUAGGCGUCGACAUUUGGCAAGGAAUUCGAUGCCUUCAAAAGAGAAGGCCAGGAUCGACAUUCCGCAGGAAAGCGUGUUCGACAUUCCCAGGAAAAAAAGGAUAGGCGUCGACAUUUGGCAAGGAAUUCGAAACCUUCAAAAGAGAAGGUCAGGGUCGACAUUCCAUACUACUCUCAUCGACAUCCUCAGAAAAAGGUGGGAUCGACAUUUUUAGGCAACAUCGACAUUUCCAGGGAGAAAUGAGAUCGACUUGUCAAAAAUCCGACACCUUCAGAAAAGGAUCAGCAGUCAUCGACUUCCUCAGAAAAAGGUGAAAUCGAUAUUUUUAGGCAACAUCGACAUUUCCAGGGAGAAAUGAAACCGACUUGUCAAAAAUCCGACACCUUCAGAAAAGGAUCAGCAGUCAUCGACUUCCUCAGAAAAAGGUGAAAUCGACAUUUUUAGGCAACAUCGACAUUUCCAGGGAGAAAUGAGAUCGACUUGUCAAAAAUCCGACACAUUUAGAAAAGGAUCAGCAGUCAUCGACUUCCUCAGAAAAAGGUGAGAUCGACAUUUUUAGGCAACAUCGACAUUUCCAGGGAGAAAUGAGAUCGACUUGUCAAAAAUCCGACACCUUUAGAAAAGGAAAAAAGAAUAUGGUAUUGACCAAGAGAAAAUUUCGGUUACACUAACGUACUUCAAAGUAAAGGUGUAAGUCAAAUAAAAGAAAAAGGUAAAAAUAUAUUUAUUCAAAAUUACAAAGAUGAUAAAUGAAAGAUUUUACAGGUUCCUAAUUAAAAUUAAUACGGUGACGCAAGCGGCGAGGGACCUGAUCCAGCGGGGAAGCACCGCGGCGGGGACGCCUCCGACGUCGGCCACGUGGAGGAAUAACAGAAGAAGAGGCAGGCGGAAGAUCGCCACCAGACCAUUCUUCAAAAAUGGACUCCCUAGCAGCAACAGCAACACUCUGCCGCUCAACAAUAAGUUGGCGCAGAGAAGGAAGAUCCAAGGUCGACGACCGAGGAUCCAGAAUAUUCAAAAUCCGAUCCAGCUCCUCAAUCUCUCCCUGAAUGAAAUCAGCAAAGAGACUCACAAGAAGAGCCAUGGAUGGAUGAAGGAAAAGGAGAACCUAGGGGUCCUAUUUAUAGACCCUAGGACAGCACAAAAGGACAAAAUGGCAAAAUCGACUUUUUACGCAAGGGAUCGACUUUUGACCAAAAGCACCAGGAAUCGACUUUUUGACAAAAGUCGACCAAACUCAACAAGGGAUCGACAUUUAGCAAAAGUCGACCAAACUCAACAAGGGAUCGACAUUUAGCAAAAGUCGAGGAAAUUCAACAGGGGAUCGACAUUUAGUAAAAGUCGACCAAAACCAACAAGGGAUCGACUUUUUCUCCCACAUAAAAGAGGUGCAGAAAAAAGAACCCAGACAAGUUGGAGUUGCAGAGGCACACCAAGACAGGAGGGUGUAACACGAAAUGCUCCUGAGGAAUCGUGGAAGUCCACAACUCGGGCGGGGAUACGACAGCAAAAUGAGCUGAGCCAUAUAAAGAUAUUUGAACUCCUACUAUUACUGGACGCAGUAACAAGAUAGGACGCCAAAUUAACUCUACCUGCGGAAGAUCGCGGACAGAGAAAGUCUUAAUGGUAACAGAGUCAGGAUGCGUAUCCCAUCCAAAGCAAAGAGUGAACCUCACCUACGGAAACGUAGUGUUAGACGAGGGACAUACUCAAGAGUGAACCCCACCUACGGAAGAACGUAGGUUAGACGGGGAACACAUCGACAAAAGUGAACCCCACCUACGGAAGAACGUAGGUUAGACGGGGAACACAGCGGCAAAGAGUGAACCUCACCUACGGAAACGUAGUGUUAGACGAGAGACAUACUCAAAAGUGAACCCCACCUACGGAAGAACGUAGGUUAGACGGGGAACACAUCGACAAAAGUGAACCCCACCUACAGAAGAACGUAGGUUAGACGGGGAACACAGCGGCAAAAGUGAACCCCACCUACGGAAGAACGUAGGUUAGACGGGGGACACGUCGGCUAAACACACACCCCAUUCUACAAAAAUGUAGACAGAGGGGCAAGUGUCCAAGAGUAAACCUCACCUACGGAAGAACGUAGGUUAGACGAGGGACGUACUCAAGAGUAAACCUCACCUACGGAAGAACGUAGGUUAGACGAGGGACGUACUCAAGAACAGUCCUCACCCACGGAUGAACGCGGGUAGACGAGGAAGCACAAUCAGCCCCUAUCGCGGAAAGGCGGAAAAAAAGGAGGGGGCAAGUAUUCAAAUAAUAGUCCUCACCCACGGAUGAACGUAGGAAGACGAGGAGUCACAUUUAGCCCCUAUCGCAGAAAGGCGGAAAAAAGGAGGGGGCAAGUAUUCAAGUAAUAGUCCUCACCCACGGAUGAGCGCGGGUAGACGAGGAAGCACAAUCAGCCCCUAUCGCAGAAAGGCGAAAAAAAGGAGGGGGCAAGUAUUCAAGUAAUAGUCCUCACCCACGGAUGAACGCGGGUAGACGAGGAAGUACACUCAGCCCCUAUCGCAGAAAGGCGGAAAAAAGGAGGGGGUCAGGUACUCUCAAAACCCGCCACAGGGAAGAGAACCCAAGCAGUGCUCAAGGACAGCUCAGGCAAGGCGUCAAGGUGGGCAAGCAGGGUUCCGCGGGAGAAUCAGGCCGGACAGGUGUGCAAGGAGUAGGCUUCGGCUAGGACAAACCGGACGAUAGUUGGCAAAAGCGCGUGACAACCUCCGUGGAAGCAUAGAUACAACCUCGCAGGCGUGGAAGGGGGGGGUACUGGUGAGAGAGGAUCUUACAUCCAGGGACAUCACCAGAAAUCCACAUCCCAGCACGCAAAGAGGGGGGGAAUACUGAUAGUACAGGGUCCGACACACAGACCAUAGUACUAAAAGACGUAUCCCAAAGUAUCUAAUACGCAGAGGAGGGGGGAGUACUGGUGAUACAGUAUCCCGAACACGGUCACAACCUACCAGCAACUAGAAGUCCGGAUAGCCUAAGAUGAGUGGAGGUAUCUAUUCUAGGGUUGGGGAGGUCCCAGGUCGAAUCCUAGGAAGAUCGACUUUCCUGAGGAUCGACUUCCCUGGGAUCGACUUUUGAGUAAAGUCGAUCACCAGGAAAAGUCGACCCCCAGAAAGUCGAUCUCUGGAAAGUCGACCCCUGGACCCAAUCUGAUCAGUUGGGAAGUUAGGCGGUUACUGCCCAAAUGCCCAGAUUUCCCCCAUAAGAACCCCUAUAAAUAGAGGGCACCCCCCACUCAUUAAAGGCAAGUCAUUUGGAGAAGAAGAAUUCCUAGCGAAGCAGAGCUCUGCACACUUGAGUUCCGGUCCGGUUUCCCGCGGAGUUCCCCGCUUGGCGCUUGCUUGCGCGUCUUGGAGUACUGGUCGGGUUGCACCCCCAUCAUUAAUCAAUAAAUUAAUUAAGUCAAACUUUUAAUCAAAGUCAAAAUCGAAUUGGUACAAUUGCAUAAAACACCUUGAAUAUAAUUAUUAUUGUAAUCUAACAAUUUAUUCAAGAUACAAUAACCAAUAAGCAAAAGACACUAUUCACAAAAAAAUCUUCUUAAAGGGACAAAGAUAUCUUUGAUGGAAAUCAAUAUCACCAAAAGCAAAGUAUCUAUUAUUCACAAAAGAAUCUUCCCAAAAAAAGAGAAGACAAGUCUUGGACUUUUGUGAGGAAUCAAUGAACCAACCAUUGAAGAUCCAAGAGUGGACAAGUGAUGACCUAGGCUAUAAAUAGAAGGGCAAACCUGGCCUCCAUUUUCGUUCACCACACUUCAAGCACUUCAAAGAGUUUUUCACUCCUCAUCUUGAGAUCUACAAAGUGUUCUUACUUCCAAGGUUCCAAGCUUCCAAAAGCUCUCAAGUGUUUUAGCUUCCAAAAGCUCUCCAACUUCUACUUCUAACCUUCUUGUUCAUCUUUACAAGUAAGAAGUUUUGUAUGUUUUAAUAUUCCACUCCUCUAAUCUUCUCUUGUGUGUGUCUACUUUGGUUGAGGGGUUUGUCUCAAUAUCAACAAAGUGUGUGAGAAGGUUAUUGAGCUCAACCGAAAAGCUCUAGUUUGGUUUUAUAGUUUCCGGGAAAACUCUUAGGUCGAAUCUACCUUGAAAGAUUUUUAGGUUUUUAAGAGUUCCUUGAUAUUUUAAGGUCCUAACUUACCUGUAAAAGUUAGAGGUUUUUAAGAGUUCCAUAAUACUCUAAGGUGUGAGUCUACCCAUAAAAGAGUACUGGUUCCUAAGCGAAGUUAUCCUUAAGGCUUAGAGAGGUUUUUAAGAGUUCCUUGAUACUCUAAGGUUCUAACUUACCCGUAAAAGUUAAAGAUUUUUAAGAGUUCCAUAAUACUCUAAGGUGUGAGUCUACCCGUAAAAGACUGGUUUCUAAGCAAAGUUAGCCGUAAAGCUUAGAGAGGUUUUUAAAAGUUUCCUUAAUACUCUAAGGUUUUGCCAUAACCUUUAGGCUAGUGAAUUCUGAUAGUUUGUCGGGACUGGAUUAGCCCUUGUUUGGGUGAACCAAUAUAAAAUUUUUUGUGUUGUUCUUUGUUAACUUUAGUUUUUAUUUACUGUCUAAAAUAACUAAACAACACUUAAUUAAAAAGAUCCCUCUUCCCGUUAUCUGGUCAAGCAAAGAGGUUGACUACUUUCCGCAAAUCCCUCAUCCAGUUAUCUGGUCAAGUAUCUGAGGUUAUAUUUAUUGUUCAAAUCUCUAUCCAGUUAUCUGGUCGGUUAUUUACUUAUCAUUUAUAUCUAGUUAACUGGUCCUUUACUCUAUAUAACAACGUGCACUUAUAAUAUAACUUAGUAUCUAUAUACUAUAGCUGUUUAUAAAGCACUAUCUAAUAAGUUGACCCAGUAUUCAUAUACUGUAAUAAGCUUUGAAGAGAAAAGACAAGUUUAUAAAUAUAUAUAAUAUUAUAUUGUAAGAUAUAAUAUUAUAAUCAUUUUUAUUGUUGUUCAAUCAUUUGUGUAUUAAGUGUUUGUAGGUAAUUUCGUAUUUAACCUGCCUAAAUCGAAAAGAGCCUAUUAUCCCCUCUUAUAUCCUCGAAUCACGAUCCAAUAGUUAACAUCUAAUCCAUAAAUCAUAACUAUUAAUUAUACUAAUUAUUCUAGGGUUGUAAUAUCAUUAUAAUGAUAAUAGAGAUAUGGGCUGGCCCAUUUGUUAAUGGGUCAUUUGAAAUAUGAAAUGAUCAAUACCAAUAAUACUAAUAUAAUGAAAAAAAGAAAAACAUAUCAAUUGUCAAGUUGUAAUUACUUUUUAUUCUUUUAUCAACAUUGAAGUACUACUACAACAACUCAUUCAUCACAACUACAUAUAACUAAAAAUAUAGAAGAUGGAUAUAUAGAUUAAAACGAUAUAGCUUGGCAUGACGAUCGAUAUACCAUUGGCGGACUGUCGGCGGCCAGGCCGUUAGUAGGGACCUGUUAGAAAAAUACUGUUUUUUGUAAUGAAACUAAGUAGUCUUUCUCGCAUUUUAAAUAACUAGUUAGCAUGAUCGAUUAAUUAAGAUCACAAUAAAGAAGACAAGGAUCAAAAUAUGUGCGAACAAGAAGGGGAAAGUGGAGGAGAUGACAAAGGGUGAGAUGAAAAUGACGAUGUAGGGAUGUUGGAGAGUGGUGUAGUCGGAAGUGAUGGAGGCCGGAAAAGGUAAAGUUGAAGGUGAUUGGUAAGCGACACAUAUAUAUGUUAACAUUUACUUUUGCAAUUUGAAUUAUUAUGACGACACCUGCGUCUACAUCGAUGUCUAAAUAUUGUACAAUGCCGCUUACAUCUUCUAUAAUCCUUGUGGCAUCUUUCGAUCGAUGCAAUCAUAAUAAGGAGGAGGUGAAUGUGGUGGGUGGGGUGAAUGUGGUGGGUGGGGUGAAGGUGGAGGAGGCGAUUGAUGGAGGAGAAGGCGCGCGAUGGAGGGGGAGGCGAUUGUACUUAUUUCAUCAAAGUCUUUUGUUUUUCUUUUGAUCAUAUAUACCAACAAUGCUAAUGUAAUGAAAGAAACAAAAUAUAUAUGUCAAGUUGUAAUUAGUACUUCUUAUUCUUUUAUCAACAUUGAAGUAAUUCCACAACAACUCAAUCAUCACACAUAUAUAAACAAGAUAGAUUAAAACAAGAUAUAAAAUGACGAUCUAUCAUUUAGACAUUAAUUUGUGUAAAAUUUAGCAAGAUAGACAAACUAGCUAGGUAUGUAGUCUUUCUCACAUUUUAAAUAACUAGCAUGAUCGAUUUAAACCACAAUAAAGAAGACAUGCAUACGAUCAAGGAGGUGAAAGUGGAAGAGAUGAAGGAGGAUGAGUUGAAAAUGGAUGUGACGGAGGGGAGAGUCUACGAAGAUGGUGGAGAUCGAGUGACCAUUUAGGCGGAAGUGAUGGAGGGGAUCGAAGGUGAAGGUGGAAGGUGAUUGGGAAGUAAUACGUAAAAGUUUUUUAACAUUUAUUUUUACAACUGGAAAUCUUACGACGAACCUGAAACAACGACGCUUGCAUCUAUAUUAAAUCUUUUUGCAAGCUUUGUGGCAAUCAUUAUUAUUUGGAGGAGGUGGUGAUGGAAGAGGAGGUGGUGGGGGAGGAGGUGAUGGAGGAGGUGGUGAUGGAGGGGAAGGUGGCAGUUUAAUUAAUUUGUAACACUUAUAAAUACAAUGAAAAGUAAUCCCUCCACAAUCUACAAAGCAUUUUGUGAAGUCACAAUGGCAUAAAUACAAAGAUUAUUAUCUUGAGCACUUUCGACACUUGAUAUAAUUGAAAACGGUAGAACUAAGACGACUACAACAAGCAAUGUUUUCUGAUAACUUGAUAUAUAAAUUUCUGAUCAACAAUCCCCUCCUUUUAUACACACAUUCUGCCCUGAAUUUUAGGUUAAUUGUCGCGCAUAUUUCUUCAAUCUCUUCUAUAAUUGACAUCAAAAUCUUGCUAAAAUGGCAUUUUCAAUACCCCUUCCCAACAUCUAAUUUGAUAGGUUUUAAUAGGGUGGGCACAAAUAUUAUUUUUUAUCAUACUUUUUUUUUGAAACAGUUAAAAUUUUAUUAAAAAAUAAAGACAAUGCUCAAUUUACAAAGAGUAUAGAAAUAAAUAAAAGCUCAUUGACUCUCUUCCAUUAGUUAUGUAGUCUAGUUAUACAGUAAUUAUAUAGAAACGCUGCCACAGGAGGUUGGUCUCUCAUACUGCCUUCCAUCAUAGAUGUCUCCAAAGGGUGACAACAUUUCUUAUCAUACUUAUUUGGUAUUUCAACUUGCUUCUACAACCUCGCUUACUUAAUUAUGCUCCAAUCGUUCUAAUUAAUUUCCAAUAAUUUUUGUAUUGAGUGUUCAUAAGGACAACAAUUUUUGCAUAUACCAUGCCAAUAUUUAAUCUAUAAUAUUUAUUACUACUUUAGUUAUGUUCUACAUGUAGCCAAUUAGGGACCACUACAAGUAACGUCAAACCUUCACCCAUGACCAAGAUCAGUGGUCCUUUGACGAAAUCCUUGAAUUAGCCACGGGAUAUAUGGUCCGUGGGCAUAGGUCUAGUGGGUACGUAUUUUUAGUUACGAAAUUGAUAAUCCAUGACUAAAUAUUACUACUUUAUUUCUGUUCUACAUGUAGUCAAUUAGGGAUCAUUAACAUUUAAAAAAAAUCGAAGAAAUUUGGACAUUUAGAAGAAUUAAUAUUAGGAUAUAUACGGAUAUAAAAAUGUGAAUAUUUAGAUAUUUUUAUUUAUGCCCAUAACUAUAUUAUCACAAAUAUACAAUUUUUUGAUUAUUGGUGAAUCAAUCGUACAUUUAUUUAGUAAGAUUUCUGAUUUUUUUUUUUUAAAUUCAAAUUAAUUUCCUAAUCAUAGUUAAUUGAGAGUUAUUAAUAAGGUUAUUAUUAUCUUUCCGACUCUAAUUAAUUCUUUCAUUAUUAAUUUGAUUGUUAAAAUAUUUUUUUUUUUUUAAAUUUGACAUCCUAAAUGAAAAAAAUAAAGAUAUUUAAAUUAAUAUAUUAAAUGAGAACAUCUCAAAUCAAAUAAAUAUAUAGGAACAUUUAAAUUGUGUUAAAUAAAGACAUUUCAAAUUAGAAUACAUCGGUUGAAAUAUCAUUAGAUUCGCGAUUUAAUUUUCAAUAACUUUUAUUUUUAAUUUUUUAUUGAUUCAAUCACUGAGGUGUGAGUUAUUAUUCUUUUUUUAUAUGUAAAAUGACGUGGUGAAGAGAAAAAAUAACUUAAAUUUAAAUGUUUAACAUUUGAAAAUACUGAAUGUCUGUCCAUAUGAGACUCAACUUCUUCCUCUUCCAACAACCAAAAAUCUCACUCUCUAUUCUCCCUCCCAUCCCUAUGCCGACCGAUUCCAUAUGAGGCUCAACCGUUGAAAUACAAAUGAAUGGUAGAUUUCUACGAGACCUCAAAUGGAGAGAUGAGGCUCAACCUCAUUUGAAAUCUACCUUAUUUAUAUAUAUUAAUUGCAAAAGAAAAAGUAAAGGAAAAAGAUUACAAGCUGUUAACAUCUAAUCCAUAAAUCAUAACUAUUAAUUAUACUAAUUAUUCUAAGGUUGUAAUAUCAUUAUAAUGAUAAUAGAGAUAUGGGCUGGCCCAUUUGUUAUUGGGCCAUUUGAAACAUGAAAUGAUCAAUACCAAUAAUACUAAUGUAAUGAAAAAACAUGUCAUUACUUUUUAUUCUUUUAUCGAUCAACAUUGAAGUACUUCCACAACAACUCAGACAUCACAACUACAUAUAACUAAAAAUACAGAAGAUGGAUAUAUAUUUUAAAACGAUAUAGCUUGGAAUGACGAGCGAUAUACCAUUGGCGGAUUCGUGCAGCCUGUCGGCGGCCAGGCCGUCAGUAUGGACCUGUUAGAAAAAUACUGUUUUUUGUAGUGAAACUAAGUAGUCUUUCUCGCAUUUUAAAUAACUAGGUAGCAUGAUCGAUUAAUUAAGAUCACAAUAAAGAAGACAAGGAUCAAAAUAUGUGCGAUCAAGAUGAGGAAAGUGGAGGAGAUGACGAAGGGUGAGAUGAAAAUGGCGAUGUAGGGAUGUUGGAGAGAGAUCUAGUCGGAAGUCAUGAUGGAGGAAAAGGUGAAGGUUGAAGGUGAUUGGUAACUGGUAAGUGGCACAUGUAUGUUAACAUUUACUUUUGCAAUUUGAAUUAUUACGACGACACCUGCGUCUACAUCGAUGUCUAAAUAUUGUACAAUGCCGCUUGCAUAUUCUAUAAUCCUUGUGGCAUCUUUCGAUCGAUGCAAUCAUAAUAAGGAGGAGGUGAAUGUGGUGGGUGGGGUAGUGAAGGGUGGAGGAGGCGAUGGAGGAGGAGGCGCUCGAAGGUGGGGUAGGCGAUGCAAGUCUUUUGUUUUGCUUUUAAUCAUAUCAACAAUGCUAAUGUAAUGAAAGAAACAAAAAAUUUGUCAAGUUGUAAUCACUUCUUAUUCUUUUAUCAACAUUGAAGUAAUUCCACAACAACUCAAACAUCACACAUACAUAAACAAGAUAGAUUAAAACAAGAUAUAAAAUGACGAUCGAUCAUCUAGACAUUAAUUUGUGUAAAAUUCAGCAACAUAGACAAACUAGCAGGGUAUGUAGUCUUUCUCGCAUUUUAAAUAACUAGCAUGAUCGAUUUACACCACAAUAAAGAAGACAUGCAUGCAUGCAUGCGACCAAGGAGGUGAAAGUGGAAGAGAUGAAGGAGGAUGAGGUGAAAAUGGAUGUGACUAAGGGGAGAUGCUAAGAAGAUGGUGGAGAUCGAGUGAUCAUUGAGGCAGAAGUGAUGGAGGGGAUCAAAGGUGAAGGUGGAUGGUAAUUGGGAAGUGAUACGUAAAAGUUUUUUAACAUUUGUUUUUACAACGGAAAAACUGACGACGACACCAGCGUAAACAUCUACGAUUACUGAAACAAAGACGCUUGCAUAUGUUAUGAAUCUUUUUGCAAGCUUUGAGGCAAUCAUGUUUAUUUGGAGGAGGUGGUGAUGAAUGGGGAGGUGGUGGGGGAGGAGAUGGUGGGGGAGGAGGCAGUUUAAAUAUGGAAUAACACUUCAAAAUACAUUGUAAAGUAAUCCCUCCACAAUUUACUAAGCAUUUUGUGAAGUCACAUUGGCAUGCAUCGUAGAGGUUAUUAUCUUGAGCACUUUCGACACUUGAUAUAAUUGAAAACGAUAGAACUAAGACGAUUACAACAAACAAUGUUUUC
rnacentral:lncRNA from 1 species